AAAACUUUCAACAACGGAUCUCUUGGCUCUGGCAUCGAUGAAGAACGCAGCGAAACGCGAUAAGUAAUGUGAAUUGCAGAAUCCAGUGAAUCAUCGAAUCUUUGAACGCACAUUGCGCCCGCCAGCAUUCUGGCGGGCAUGCCUGUUCGAGCGUC
rnacentral:rRNA from 1 species